CUAGGACUUGGCAAAAUAUUACAUAUGUACUCUGAACAGAACAAAAUUCAGAGGAAAUCUUUCUUCUUGGCCUGUGGACAUGACUCUGACUAAGCAUUUUUAUAAAGAAGUCUAGGAUCUUCUUCCUAUGUGGCUAUGUGGAGAAAGAAAAGCCCUAGAGGGUGAGAGAUCACAGGAUGGAGAAAGGCACCAGGAGAAGAACCAAGAUACCCUAAUACAAAACUAGCACCAAGUCCCCCAGAUAAGUAGGUUAAAGAUGUGACAUUUCCUAACAGCACCAAGGAAGGAGCACCAGAGAACAUGAAAAGGCACUCAAGCUAAGUGGUCUGUUGAACUUUGCAUAUCUUCCUCUUUGUCAAUGAAAGAAGGCAAAACCAAACCUAAAUGAAACAAAACAAAGAACUACUUACAAGGAGUUUUAAAAUAUCUCAAUCUCUGCGUUACUUAUGUAACCCACAGAGUAUAUAGAUGACCACUUAGAGGUAUUCCUACUAUUAACAAAGGUAUUAGUAUCUGUGUUUUAC
rnacentral:lncRNA from 10 species